GACGAACGCUGGCGGCGUGCUUAACACAUGCAAGUCGAACGGAAAGGCCCUGCUUGCAGGGUACUCGAGUGGCGAACGGGUGAGUAACACGUGGGUGAUCUGCCCUGCACUUCGGGAUAAGCCUGGGAAACUGGGUCUAAUACCGGAUAGGAGCCAUUUUUAGUGUGAUGGUUGGAAAGUUUUUUCGGUGUAGGAUGAGCUCGCGGCCUAUCAGCUUGUUGGUGGGGUAAUGGCCUACCAAGGCGGCGACGGGUAGCCGGCCUGAGAGGGUGGACGGCCACAAUUGGGCUGGGGUACGGCCCAGACUCCUACGGGAAGCAGGAGUUGGGAAUAUUGCACAAUGGGCGCAAGCCUGAUGCAGCGAAGCCGCGUGGGGGAUGACGGCCUUCGGGUUGUAAACUCCUUUCGCUAGGGACGAAGCUUUUUGUGACGGUACCUAGAUAAGAAGCACCGGCUAACUACGUG
rnacentral:rRNA from 1 species